UUUAAGUCCACGAGUCUUCAUUCGAAUUUAGUUGUGUCUUCAGGAGUGAGAAAUAUUUGAGUAUUGACAGCAAAAUAAGAAGGUAUACUUCACUCGUCAGAAAGAAUCAACAAAGUCAAUAUGAGUUACAAAGUCGUUCUACUGUGUUUGGCCGUUUUCCUUGUAGCUGAUGUAUUCGUUCAAGGUCUUCCUGGUAGUGCCCCCCACAGAAGAGCGAAGCUUUUCGAUUCACUA